rnacentral:lncRNA from 1 species
CCUGUAUAAGACAAUCAACUCCUCUUAGCUCAUUUUUCCUGUCUCCAUUCCCAGGCCAGGCCCAGGAGGUAGGACCCAGGGUGGAGGCCUGGAGUUGGAUCAUCAGGGGAGGAUCUUCCUGGGCCUGCCGUCCUCUUCUCUACUGGAACUUCCGGACACCAGUUGCUGCCAGUCUGAGCCAGUGGAAGGGAAGGGUUCUAAAUUUCAGAAGAUGAAACAGUUUAGCAGAGG